ACAGACCAAUGUCUCUGAUGAACAUAGAUGCCAAAACAUUAAACAAGAUCUUGGACAACUGGAUACAGUAACAUAUCAAAGAGAUUGUUCAUCACGCCCAAGUGGGAUUCUUACGAGGAAUGCAAGGCUGAUUCAACAUCCGGUCCAGAUGCCACCAGGAUGCUGGCCAGGCUUCCCUGGAUUGAAGACCCCACCAAUGUGUCCUGAAGCUCAGCUUCCCCAGAGACACACACUA